rnacentral:tRNA from 1 species
UCGUCUAGCGGUUAGGACGCUGGCCUCUCAAGCCGGUAACACGGGUUCAAAUCCCGUACG